AUGGCUUGUUUCAAUGGAAGUUCGGUGGUGCUACUAAUCACCAUGACACUUUUCUUGCUCACCAUGACCCCCACGUCUGGUGCAGUGAAGACAAGGCAAGUGAGAGUCACAAGUGAGUUAGAGGGAGGCAAGCCCCUCACCGUUCACUGUAAAUCCAAGGACGAUGAUCUCGGCGUCCAUGUGCUCCAACCUAAGGGUUCAUAUGAAUUCAGCUUUAAACCUAAUAUCUUCAUCACAUCGACAUUAUUCUUCUGCAGUUUUGAAUGGCCAGGUGCAUUUCAUUGGUUCGAUAUAUAUGUUGACGCUAGAGAUAACAAAAUUUGUAGCAAAUGUCAUUGGGUUGUAUAUGAAGAUGGGCCAUGCAUGUAUAACUGGAGCGACCAACAGUAUAAUAUAUGCCAUACCUGGAAUUAA
rnacentral:lncRNA from 1 species